GGCUAGGAUAAUCCAUAUGAUAGAUUUAAAAGGUUGGAAUACAAUAUGGAUGAUCCUUCAGGAUUAACAGUUUAACCCUAGAACGUUCUAGAGUAUUCAGGGUCAAAGGGAUAAAUUAUGCGAUAACCAUAUGCAUAAAUUUUUGAAUAUUGUCUUGCGAUAAUUUGACCUAUCCGGACGUCAGGAACUAUUGCUGGAUGAUAACUUCGAUUAGUAUAGAA
rnacentral:lncRNA from 1 species